rnacentral:rRNA from 1 species
AUUGAACGCUGGCGGCGUGCCUAAUACAUGCAAGUCGAACGCAGUGGGGACGGGGGAGUAACACGUGGGUAACCUCCCAUCAGAGGGGAUAACACUUGGAAACAGGUGCUAAACCGAUACUGAUGGAUGGACCCGGGGUGCAUUAGCUAGUUGGUGAGGUAACGGCUCACCAAGGCCACGAUGCAUAGCCGGCCUGAGAGGAUGAUCGGCCACACUGGAACUGAGACACGGCCCAGACUCCUACGGGAGGCAGCAGUGGGGAAUAUUCGGCAAUGGGCGAAAGUCUGACCGAGCAACGCCGCGUGAGUGAAGAAGGUUUUCGGAUCGUAAAACUCUGUUGUUAGAGAGGCGGUAUCUAACCAGAAAGCCACGGCUAACUACGUGCCAGCAGCCGCGGUAAUUC